rnacentral:ncRNA from 1 species
GGCCACCUUCGGGGGGCUAUCACAUAGGCAGGGCAGGGCCUUGCCGUAAGCAAACGGAAGACAGAAA